UACAGAGGUCUCAAGCGUUGUUCGGAUUCAUUGGGCGUAAAGGGUGCGUAGGCGGCGCGGUAAGUCGGGUGUGAAAUCUCGGAGCUUAACUCCGAAACUGCAUUCGAUACUACCGUGCUUGAGGACUGGAGAGGAGACUGGAAUUUACGGUGUAGCGGUGAAAUGCGUAGAUAUCGUAAGGAAGACCAGUGGCGAAGGCGGGUCUCUGGACAGUUCCUGACGCUGAGACGCGAAAGCGUGGGGAGCAAACAGG
rnacentral:rRNA from 1 species